rnacentral:rRNA from 1 species
UACAGAGGGGGCAAGCGUUAUUCGGAAUUAUUGGGCGUAAAGGGCGCGUAGGCGGCUUGGCAAGUGGAAGGUGAAAUCCCUCGGUUUAACCGAGGAACUGCCCUCCAAACUGCUUUGCUUGAGGCCGGGAGAGGUGAGUGGAAUUCCCAGUGUAGCGGUGAAAUGCGUAGAUAUUGGGAGGAACGCCGGUGGCGAAAGCGACGGACUGGAUCUCUUCUGACGCUGAGACGCGAAAGCGUGGGGAGCAAACAGG